GGACCCACACAAGCGGUGGAGCAUCUUGUUUAAUUCGAUAAUAAGCGGGGAACCUUACCUAGGCUUGACAUCCCACAGAAUUUUCUAGAAAUAGAAAAGUGCCUUUUGGAACUGUGGUGACAGGCGCUGCAUGGUCGUCGUCAGCUCGUGCCUUGAGGUGUUCGGUUAAGUCCGUAAACGAGCGCAACCCUAGUCGCAUGUUGUAUUUUCUCAUGCGAGACUGCCGGUUACAAAUCGGAGGAAGGUUAGGUCGAAGUCAGAUCAGCAUGGCCCUUAUGCCUAGGGCUACAAAGGUGCUACAAUGGUCGGUACAACGGGAAGCAAAGGAGUGAUCCCUAGCCAAUCCCCAAAGCCGAUCUAAGUUCGGAUUGUAGUCUGCAACUCGACUACAUGAAGUUGGAAUCGCUAGUAACCGCAUAU
rnacentral:rRNA from 1 species